rnacentral:rRNA from 1 species
GUAGGGAAUAUUGGACAAUGGGCGAAAGCCUGAUCCAGCCAUGCCGCGUGUGUGAAGAAGGUCUUCGGAUUGUAAAGCACUUUAAGUUGGGAGGAAGGGCAGUAAGUUAAUACCUUGCUGUUUUGACGUUACCAACAGAAUAAGCACCGGCUAACUUCGUGCCAGCAGCCGCGGUAAUACGAAGGGUGCAAGCGUUAAUCGGAAUUACUGGGCGUAAAGCGCGCGUAGGUGGUUCAGCAAGUUGAAGGUGAAAUCCCCGGGCUCAACCUGGGAACUGCCUCCAAAACUACUGAGCUAGAGUACGGUAGAGGGUAGUGGAAUUUCCUGUGUAGCGGUGAAAUGCGUAGAUAUAGGAAGGAACACCAGUGGCGAAGGCGACUACCUGGACUGAUACUGACACUGAGGUGCGAAAGCGUGGGGAGCAAACAGGAUUAGAAACCCUGGUAGUCC